AGCUUUGAGCAGUGGCAGUAUCGUAGCCAAUGAGGUUUAUCCGAGGUGCGAUUAUGGCUAAUUGAAAACUUUUCCUAAUAUAUACAGUUACAAGGACUUUAAUUAUAAAGAUCCUAGUUUGCAAAUCAUUUUUAAUACUCCAGACUCAAAGUU
rfam:Fukomys damarensis contig49391, whole genome shotgun sequence.